GACGAACGCUGGCGGCGUGCCUAAUACAUGCAAGUUGAGCGAUGAAGAUUGGUGCUUGCGCCAAUUUGAAGAGCAGCGAACGGGUGAGUAACGCGUGGGGAAUCUGCCUUUGAGCGGGGGACAACAUUUGGAAACGAAUGCUAAUACCGCAUAACAACUUUAAACAUAAGUUGUAAGUUUGAAAGAUGCAAUUGCAUCACUCAAAGAUGAUCCCGCGUUGUAUUAGCUAGUGGGUGAGGUAAAGGCUCACCAAGGCGAUGAUACAUAGCCGACCUGAGAGGGUGAUCGGCCACAUUGGGACUGAGACACGGCCCAAACUCCUACGGGAGGCAGCAGUAGGGAAUCUUCGGCAAUGGACGAAAGUCUGACCGAGCAACGCCGCGUGAGUGAAGAAGGUUUUCGGAUCGUAAAACUCUGUUGGUAGAGAAGAACGUUGGUGAGAGUGGAAAGCGCAUCAAGUGACGGUAACUACCCAGAAAGGGACGGCUAACUACGU
rnacentral:rRNA from 1 species